rnacentral:lncRNA from 1 species
UAAAACAAGAGAAAGAUAGAAGUAAUCAAACUCAAGCCUCCAGAGGGCGUCACACCUCGAGGAACUCCUGGAUGUUCUUUGCACAAACAAUAAUAAGUGACUCUCGUCAUCUUAUUUCUAAGUACUACUUUAUUAUUUGGUACUAUUUUCUAAUACUACAUCUUGCCUACUGCAUAAUGCACAUUACAUAAUGCAUCAUUUCCUUUUGAUUUGGAUUACAAUUUAUAGAAGAGGAAGAGGGUGUUGGUUAUGAUGAUGAUUGGUUGGCCAAAAGGUGCUUUAGAUGACUCCUCUUGGGAAAAGUCCNN